UGGACUACAUCGUGCAUUCUCUAGGCUGAAAUUCGAUUAGCUGCCUAUAGCAUUGGCAAGACCUUCUCUAGAGGAGACGUACAAAAAGGCUUCUAUGAGCUAAACUUCGAUUCAAAAAGCCUGUGGUCAAAGUCUACUGUAGAGUUGGUAUUAUGCAAGACAUUCGGCAGCGCAUAAAACGCCAUGAAUGUAACACAGCAGGAUCGCGACGGCCUCGUCAUCCUAGGAAUUCCAGAUCCGUAUGUCGCGCCACGUUACCAACGCAGUACUCAUCACAACAUCCACCUCUUGAUCAUGAACAGGCAGUCGGUGAUGAAGGUUUGGGAAACCUGCAGCUGUCGCCAAUUGCAAGCUCGGAACUACGUAUUUGUCGUGCACGUGACAAUUGUAGUUCAUUAUCACAAUAUUUAAAUUCAAUUUGUGGUAACAGGUGAAAUAGAUUUCCAAGCUGCAGGGAUAGCGACAGCUGCAGGUAGCGUACCCACUUCCAAGCAACAGCUGCAUGCUUUUGAACAAUCAUGACAAUGGGCUGCCUCGUGGUGCUGGGACUUCUAGCUAAACGACAGAUUCUUUUUUGAUUGAAAUAAUUAAAAUUAUCGAUGGGAAGACGAUUCUACCUGGAAGCAGAAGAAGACAACUGCCAUCAAGGGCACUAAAUGAAAAAAUUAUAUGGAAUCAAGAAAACUGUCAACUAAUUUAUCUUGUGAUUUUGUAAUUUGUAUUAUAUCAUUUUGUAAUUAACAUAAUUAUUUUGAUAAUAAAGGAAAUUUGCA